rnacentral:rRNA from 1 species
GACGAACCGUGCAAACGUUGUUCGGAAUCACUGGGCUUAAAGGGCGCGUAGGCGGGCAAGCAAGUCGAAGGUGAAAUCCCACGGCUCAACCGUGGAAGUGCCCCCGAUACUGCUUGUCUUGAGGGAGAUAGGGCGUGCGGAACUUCCGGUGGAGCGGUGAAAUGCGUAGAUAUCGGAAGGAACACCGGUGGCGAAAGCGGCGCGCUGGAUCUCUUCUGACGCUGAGGCGCGAAAGCCAGGGGAGCAAACGGG